CUCCCGGCGCGUCACAACCGAGCGACCUUCGACGCACCUGAUUGGUUGCGCCGUGGCCGCACGCCUCAUUGGAUGCAACUAGAUAUGCUCAGGUCCCAGCGGAAUGACGCACUAGAUGGGUGACGCCAAGCGUCGAGCUGGAAUGCUGCGCUUCCUAUUGGUUGCAGCACGGCCAGCUGACAUAGGUGUCUGCAUCGAAUGCUCUACUCUCAGGCUCAGCUGAUCUGGAGAAGGCAGGGACUAUUGUGGUUAGGCUUUCCUCGCUAGUGAUUUGAUCACUAAUGACAGCUGCUCUGUUACAAGGAGAUCAUUCAUUUCACCUGGGGCUGCAUCAUCAAUGGUAAGUUUAUAAGGGAGUCAGAGGGGCUUGUCCAGCAAUCAUUUCCCUACCCUCCACUGUUGGAGAGGGAGGUCAUUUUGGUCUCUGACCACCUUUUUCUUUUCUUUUAUUUUUGAUUUAUUUUUCAUCUCCACUUGGAAUGCUGGUCUAUCCAUACUGAGCCUACUGAUUAGGAGUGUUGUGAUACCUCAUAUCCAUUCUUGGCUGCUGACACUUUUUAUGUGAAUACGUUUGUUAUUUCACACACCCCUCAUGGUCUUGGAGCCCUCAGGGAGUGGGGGAGACCUAUGGGCAUUGAGCAUACCAUCUGACUUGGCCGCAUUGGAUCCGGCGCACACACGGGCUCUCUGGGGACGAUCUGGGCACUCCAAGCUAGGGAGAGGAAAAACCUCACUGCUAAUGUUCCCUGAAGAAGGAUGUAUUACUAAAAGCAUUUGAAACGCGUUGGAAACGACCAUCCAUAUCCCCAGUUUUGUGCUGGGGUACAUGAUGAUCUCAUAGCAGCAGUUUUUUCCAAUUUUUUAUUUUAGAUGUUGACAUACUACUGUGAAGUGUUUAUUCUUUGACUAUUUUCGUAAUACUAUUUUGUAAUAAAUUUCUAUAUUUUUAUGACCCAGUUGUCACCAUACUUGUUGUUGCCCUAAAAGUCCCACCUCCUCUAGAGGUAUCCAUUUUUUGUAUUGACAUAGGGAUGUUGGCAACAUUAUGCCUCUAUACAUGAGCUAAAUCUUUUUCAGAAUCAGUUACGCAUAGAUU